GUCGUAACAAGGUAGCCGUACCGGAAGGUGUGGCUGGAUCACCUCCUUUUAGGGAGACCUAAUCCAUUUAGAAAUUGAGGGUGAUGAAAAUUGCCAAUAAAAACUAAAUUGGUCUAACCUAGGUCGGUCGAGAUUGGUAGAUAUCUUUCAAAGUAUUAUUUGGCUUAGUUCAAAAAUUGAAUCAAAGUCAGCACCUAACAACUAUAGCUAGACUGCUGGGUUAAAUUCCAGCCAGAACCUUGAAAACUGCAUAAGAGAAAGAAAAAAAGCACCGCAGACACAGACAUGAAAGUGUUUCGUGGAAGCAAAAGAAAUUGUGGUCAAGCUAAUAAGGGCUAAUGGUGGAUACCUAGGCACACAGA
rnacentral:misc_RNA from 1 species